UCGCGGAGGUAGACUUGAGUUUGGGCAUCAGUUCUAGGCGGAUGUUGGUUCUGUUUUUAUACCUCUGCAGAUGGGGGAAGGUGGAGCUGGACCACAGCUCUUUGACUUACUGAUGCUGCUUUUGCGUGUUUGUCAGUUUAAAAAAUACUGAAUAAGGUGAGAAACAAUUCCCUGACCUUGAGCUCAGCCAUCUGACUUACUUUGGCCAAGUGGAUGCGCAGCAAGUGGAGUCUCAAAAAAAGCUGUGGAGUUAGGAUGGUUGAGUCUUGUGCUUCCACCAUCACCAUGAAAAUUAUAUACCUGGAGUGGCCAACUAUUCCCAGAAGAUGAGAAACAAGUAGAGCUGAGUUGCACUAAACUCCCCAGCCAAGCCCCAUCUAAAGCAGAGUUUUAGCCAUCCUGCAGACACAUGAAUGAGCCCAGCCAGGACCAGCCAACCCCAAAGUUGUAACUACUAAACUAAAUAAAUGUCAUUAUUUUUGUUGUU